GGAGUAAUGGUCAUAGCUCAGUGGUUCAUCAUCUGCCUAGUAUGCAGAAGAUCCUAAGUUUGAUCCCCAGCAUCUCCA